rnacentral:rRNA from 1 species
GCUACCUGCAGUCGACGGCAGCACAGAGGAGCUUGCUCCUUGGGUGGCGAGUGGCGGACGGGUGAGGAAUGCAUCGGAAUCUGCCUAUUUGUGGGGGAUAACGUAGGGAAACUUACGCUAAUACCGCAUACGUCCUACGGGAGAAAGUGGGGGACCUUCGGGCCUCACGCAGAUAGAUGAGCCGAUGCCGGAUUAGCUAGUUGGCGGGGUAAAGGCCCACCAAGGCGACGAUCCGUAGCUGGUCUGAGAGGAUGAUCAGCCACACUGGAACUGAGACACGGUCCAGACUCCUACGGGAGGCAGCAGUGGGGAAUAUUGGACAAUGGGCGCAAGCCUGAUCCAGCCAUGCCGCGUGUGUGAAGAAGGCCUUCGGGUUGUAAAGCACUUUUGUCCGGAAAGAAAAGCGCUCGAUUAAUACUCGGGUGUUAUGACGGUACCGGAAGAAUAAGCACCGGCUAACUUCGUGCCAGCAGCCGCGGUAAUACGAAGGGUGCAAGCGUUACUCGGAAUUACUGGGCGUAAAGCGUGCGUAGGUGGUUUGUUAAGUCUGAUGUGAAAGCCCUGGGCUCAACCUGGGAACUGCAUUGGAAACUGGCUUACUAGAGUGCGGUAGAGGGGUGUGGAAUUCCCGGUGUAGCAGUGAAAUGCGUAGAUAUCGGGAGGAACAUCUGUGGCGAAGGCGACACCCUGGACCAGCACUGACACUGAGGCACGAAAGCGUGGGGAGCAAACAGGAUUAGAUACCCUGGUAGUCCACGCCCUAAACGAUGCGAACUGGAUGUUGGGGGCAACUUGGCCCUCAGUAUCGAAGCUAACGCGUUAAGUUCGCCGCCUGGGAAGUACGGUCGCA